CAGGCGGCCGCUCGUAGGACGUCUAGAGAGCAGUCCGUGACAGAUGGGAUUGGGGGAAGCGGUGUUAAGUCUCACACUUUUUUUAUCCAUUUUGCAUCGCUACGGUUGUACCAUUCAUCCCUUUUCCCAUUCUUGCUCUCCUCCCAUUCCUUUUUCUCUGUUCCUUCCCUGAUCUAGGGAUUCAUCCACAAUUCGUUGCUAGAUCCUGCCAAGGAAGGAGGACGGGGUGAGAAGAGGUAUUUAAGGCGGAGUGUGGUGGUUGAAGGCUCUCGGCGGCGGCAUGUCCUCCAGCUCGACCGCACGUGCCUACUCCUCGCUGCCGCCGUCAAUUGGAUGGCCUCAUGGCCGUGGAGUUCGACCUCCUUGAACCUCUGUGGUGGCUCUCCUCCAGAGAGUCCAUAGGUGGAGGCAAGUUGUGGGCUUCCUAGUUGCUACUGCUGCCAGCUUCCACCUAUGUAAUGUGCUUCAACUCUGCAUGAUUCCUACUUCCCGCACACCGACUGAUGUUCACAGGUCUAAGAGUAUCGUUUUCGUCAAGAAGUGGUGAUAUCAUAUCUUAGAAGAAGUACCUCAUUCCAGUGAGAGGCAGCUCAGAAGAUCUGUCCUGACUUCAUCGGGCGUCAAGUUGCAGUCACAGUUUUGGCUAUUUUUGAUGUUUGUCUCGCAUCCUAGAACCGGCAGUCUUCAAUUUUGCUGGUGGUGCUCUGGCCGGGUAGCAGAUUUCUGAAGACUUCGAUUUUGUUGGUGGUGCUCAGGUUGGGUAGCAGAUUUGCAGACUUCGAUUUUGUGCUCUAUUCAGGUAGCAGAUUUGUUCUGCAGUCUUUGGUUUUGUUGGUGGUGCUCUGGCCGGGUAGCAGAUUUCUGAAGACGACUUCAAUUUCGUUGGUGGUGCUCAGGUUGGGUAGCAGUUUUGCAGACUUUGGUUUUAUCCAGAACUGGAAUUUAGAAUCUUGGGCGUGUGUUGGAUGUGGCCAGCGGGGUGCCCUAUAUUAUGUUGUCUUGGUCGACUCAAUGUCUGGGUUUCUUUUUAUCAAGACUUAUGGAGUUCUAUGAGUCCGAUUAGAAUUAUCCCUGUCUCUCCUUUUUUGGCAUGUACGUGCCCGAUUUGGAAUAAGUGCACGUCA